UCCUACGGGACGCAGCAGUGGGGAAUAUUGGGCAAUGGGCGCAAGCCUGACCCAGCCACGCCGCGUGAGUGAUGAAGGCCUUCGGGUUGUAAAGCUCUGUGGGGAGAGAAGAAAAACUGAGACCUAAUACGUCUCAGGUUGACGGUAUCUCCUUAGCAAGCACCGGCUAACUCUGUGCCAGCAGCCGCGGUAAGACAGAGGGUGCAAACGUUGCUCGGAUUUACUGGGCGUAAAGCGCAUGUAGGCGGGCAAAUAAGUCGGGUGUGAAAUCCCUGGGCUCAACCUAGGAACUGCAUCCGAAACUGUUUACCUUGAGUAGUGGAGAGGAAAGCGGAAUUCCGGGUGUAGAGGUGAAAUUCGUAGAUAUCCGGAGGAACACCAGUGGCGAAGGCGGCUUUCUGGACACUAACUGACGCUGAGAUGCGAAAGCGUGGGGAGCAAACAGGAUUAGAUACCCUGGUAGC
rnacentral:rRNA from 1 species